CCUCCGGAGCAACCCGGAGGAAGCGAAAGAGAACUGGACGACUUGAAGGGAGGCGGGGAAGGGGAGGCCGGGGUAGGAGUUGGUUUGCUCUUGUCGGGGCUGCCCCAGACCUCUGUGUUCCAGGAUUGCAGCAGAGUUAAGUACAUACUUCUUUGCCGGGUGCGCCCUCUCUUCUAGGGCAUUCCUUUCGCGCUCUAUUGGCUUUACAGGAAGUGGGAGCUGCGCCUCGGCUCAGUUCGCCGGGACACGCCUUCCCGUCCUCCCAGCCCCCAGCCGGCCCCAAACCAAACUCCAUUCCCAGGUUGGGGGGUUCCCGCUGUGUGAGGGCUGAGCCUCGGGGUUUGGACCGGCAGGGGUGACGUGCGUUCGGGAGUCGCAGCGGAAAGCGAGAAAGGCAGUGGGUGGAAAAGGGAAAGGAUGCAUUUGACAAAUCUGAUUCAUCUCUUCAGACCAAGUCCCCGCAACAGGAAAACAUAGUUCAUCAAGAAUUGGGAGACUUCAUUCAUUCCUCCUUAUUGCCAAGACUUUUCUGACUUACAACUUAAGGAGCUUAGGAAAAAACAAGCAAAUAAACAAAAAACUACCUCUUUACUUGGACUGAAGUUCCUGAAUGCCCAUUUGCCAGACAUUCUGGUUUACGUCUACGAACCUCUGCCUCAGGGCCAUGCCCUCACAGUUACAGUCAGGAGUGCGGUCUGCUGCCACAUCCCGGUUGAUCUCCUGGAACCAUCUCUGGUACCAACAAAGAAGUUCAGUGUUCUCCAUGUUUAGGCACCCUAUUCAGAGUGGAUUCUUUCAAAACAACAAAAAAAGAAAAACCUAAUGGUGCUAAUGUACAAGUAGUUUCUGAAGCUGAAAAUAUUGGUGUUUUUUUAAAUUACUAAAAAAAAUUUUUUUAGCAAGAGAGAGAGAGCAUGUGCAUGUGAGAAUGGGGGAGAGGGGCAGAAGGAGAGAGAAAGAAUCCCAAGCGGUUUCUGUGUUCAGCACAGAGUCCAAUGCGGGACUCAAUCCCAUGACCCUGGGAUCAUGACCUGAGCCGAAAUCAAGAGUCGGACACUAAACCAACUGAGUGACCAGGCGCCCCUGAAAAUAUUAAGUGUUUUUGAUAUUUUAUUCUUUUCUCCUGGGUUCCAUGUUCAAACAGUGGCAACUUGUAUUGAAUAAAUAUAAUAUCUUUAUGGUGUCUCUCUCA